UUUCUAUCUUCUUAACGUAGCAAAUUCAACCGCUAGCAUUUCAAUCGCUGGCAUUAUGAAACCUCAAAUCAUAUUCACGGUACCUCUUAUAUAUACCUUGAAGUGAUGGAAGAGAAAUUGAACUAAGAAUAUAUUUGAUGUCAGGUUCCAGUCAGUAAUUAGUCUUGAAACUGUCUCUAUGAAAUAUAUUCUGAAUACAUGCAGAAAUAAAUAUUUAUUGAUGUAAUUG
rnacentral:misc_RNA from 1 species